rnacentral:lncRNA from 1 species
GAAUUAAUGCUUCUGUUUGUUUUUCACCUGUUUCAAGAAAUGCAAUUUGUGUCUAGCUGAAUAUAUAUUUCGAGAUUUGUUUUCUGCUUAUGUAUUUGAUACCCGGACUUGACUGAUGGGAAGAUGAUGGAAAAGAAACUAGUGCAAUUUUUCCUUCAUGGUGGGUUCAUCACUUCUAUCAUGUUCCGCUUUAUCUAGGAAAUGCAUGCCUACUCAAAUAGAUAAUUUUUGUGUUUGGCUAAUGGCUGGCUUUCGUUCAUUUUAAGACCUUAGGUGUCAAUGACUGAUGUCAUGGGGCUUCUUGAUGCUCUCUUGAUACCAAGACAUAAAAUGGAUCCUGAAUUGAUGGGCUA